rnacentral:rRNA from 1 species
GCAUAUCAAUAAGCGGAGGAAAAGAAACUAACAAGGAUUCCCCUAGUAACUGCGAGUGAAGCGGGAAAAGCUCAAAUUUAAAAUCUGGUGGUCUCUGGCCAUCCGAGUUGUAAUCUAGAGAAGUGUUACCCGCGUCGGACCGUGUAUAAGUCUCCUGGAAUGGAGCGUCAUAGAGGGUGAGAAUCCCGUCUUUGACACGGACUACCGAGGCUUUGUGGUAUGCUCUCAAAGAGUCGAGUUGUUUGGGAAUGCAGCUCAAAAUGGGUGGUAAAUUCCAUCUAAAGCUAAAUAUUGGCGAGAGACCGAUAGCGAACAAGUACCGUGAGGGAAAGAUGAAAAGAACUUUGGAAAGAGAGUUAAACAGUACGUGAAAUUGCUGAAAGGGAAACGCUUGAAGUCAGUCGCGUUGGCCGGGAAUCAGCCUUGCUUUUGCUUGGUGUACUUUCUGGUUGACGGGCCAGCAUCAGUUUUGACCGGUGGAAAAAGUUCAGGGGAAUGUGGCAUCUUCGGGUGUGUUAUAGCCCUUGUUCGUAUACAUCGGUUGGGACUGAGGAACUCAGCACGCCGCAAGGCCGGGUCUUUGACCACGUUCGUGCUUAGGAUGCUGGCAUAAUGGCUUUAAUCGACCCGUCUUGAAACACGGACCAAGGAGUCUAACAUGCCUGCGAGUGUUUGGGUGGAAAACCCGAGCGCGUAAUGAAAGUGAAAGUUGAGAUCCUUGUCAUGGGGAGCAUCGACGCCCGGACCUGACGUUUUCUGACGGCCCUGCGGUAGAGCAUGUAUGUUGGGACCCGAAAGAUGGUGAACUAUGCCUGAAUAGGGUGAAGCCAGAGGAAACUCUGGUGGAGGCUCGUAGCGAUUCUGACGUGCAAAUCGAUCGUCAAAUUUGGGUAUAGGGGCGAAAGACUAAUCGAACCAUCUAGUAGCUGGUUCCUGCCGA